GGUUGGACCCCCGGUACACGGAGCUUCUUCACUGAGCACGUAUCGGUUUCAAGGUGUCCCCGGGACCCGGUCGACCUCUCUUGCUCCCCUGCGGGAGUGGGAGAGAACCCCCCUUUUUAUCAAGGUUGACCUCGGAUCAGGUAGGAAUACCCGCUGAACUUAAGCAUAUCAAUAAGCGGAGGA
rnacentral:rRNA from 1 species